GGAAAUAAAUUCUUUAUUACAAAAUGAUUACAAGUUACAACAUUUACAAGUUAUAACAAGAUUACAAUAUAUAUCAUCGGAGGUGAUUACAAAAGAAAUUGAUUCAAAAAGAUUACAAUUUGAAUGUAUAAAACAUUUAUAAGUUUUAAAAUACAUGCUAGCUUAAGUGACAAUCCUCAAUAGGGAAGCUAAAGAUGGGAUAUACUUAUAUAAGAAGGCCGAGCCCACCGGCACUUAGCACCAUCCACAACAGAACAAAAUUACAACCUGAAAAACAACAGGGAAUAAAACCCUGAGUACGCAAUUACUCAGCAAGACUUACCCGACUAAAGAAAAGACUCUCAAGGGUAUGCUGGAUUUAAGGGAUUCAAGGUAAAGCUUGUCAAAUUUCAAAGACUCGUUUUUGCAUAAAAGCUUACUAGUAGUGGAUCCUUAUGCAAAAUUUUUACUUCACAAAUUAAGUACUUUCCCUGAAUCUAGAUUUACCUGGUCUAGAGCAUUCACUUGUCCUACACUAGCUUCAUUUUAUCAACUUUAAUUUCACUUGUUAUCUACGAUGAGGGUCGAAGAUCCAGUCUUCAUAUCCGAGAAGUUCGGCGAUCCGAAUCGAUUAAUACCCAGCUGGGGAUCUCCAACCACACGACAUAUGUAGCACUUAACCCUUGCAUAUGUCAACUCGCCCACGGGUUUCUCAAGACCAGAACGGGUCCCCGCCAACCGAGAGCACAGUACUCCACCGUCCAGCCAUUGGCCUGGUUGGUACACGUUACCCUCGCCAUGGUGCCCGCCAUGUUUCCGAGAGUACAGCACCCCACCUUCCAGCCGUUGGCCUGGUUGGUACACGUUACCCUCGCCAUGGUGCCCGCCAUGUUUCCGAGAGUACAGCACCCCACCUUCCAGUCUCUUGCCACGGAGGGUACAAGCUACUCUCGCCAUCUCUCCACUCCCAUUGCGGGCCGGCCUUUCUGGUAUUGGUCCGACCGAGGCUAAGCUUACCCAUGAUGAGGCAUGUGGUCAGUUAAAGGGUCCUAGAUCAGCAGGCCAACAAUCGGAACGGUCCUUAAGCGACACAGACGGGCGACCUUUCCUGCUCAACGUCUGGUCUCAUCUUAUUAUUUAACACCCAAACCAUAUACCUGACAGAGGUACUAUACUUGAAUGAUGAAUUCAUCACUGCAGAUGAUGCGCUCACCAUUACAAGUCCAUUUUCAUAAAACAAACCCAUUCCCAAUGUCACACAUCAUUCUUUUAAAAAGAAACAGGUUUUAAUUCUCUAGGCAGGGCUAAGCCUCAUUAGUUCUCUUUGUAAAACAGGUAUCAAGGAGGAUAAUCAAAUUCCAAGGAAUGACAAUGCAUCAACUGUUUCAUCACUCAACUCCUAUCACCUAAUGCAGCAUAUAAGUGAUAAAAGUUUUAAAACAACAAGGAGGUGGCAAAUGCACCGGGGCUUGCCUGGGAUAAACACUACGUUAGUGUUGUUAAUUGACGACCACUUGGUGAGCAUCUUCCAUCCUGGCACUUGGUUGAUUCAUCCAUUUUAGCUUCGUCCAUCAGCAUCACUUGGAGAUCAAUUCCACUCGUCUUCCAUAGCACGUGAUCAAUUAACAUACCUAAAUGAUAUGUAUGAUGCACAUGAGCAUGAGCACGAAGAGCAUAAGAUAGAUAAUCUAUGUUAAAGAGGAUAAAUAUUUAAAACAAGUCAUCACAACACCUAGAAGCACAUUAGAUAUCAAGAUAUUACUAAGUAUCACAAGUACAUUUUUUUACAAUUACAUAGACCUAACUCAAGCAUCAAUCAACAAAAGGCUAUACAUGAACCUUAACUUUAUGGAUUAGAGUACACUAUCAAAGGAUUAACAUCAUUCUUAGAACUAAUGAAUAACCCACUAUUAACUAGCAUAAAAUCCUAUGGAGCAAAACUUAUCUCAACCUAUAGAUCUAAAAUACUUCUAUGCAUAACAAGCACUUCAAUUCUAAACUUUACUCCUCCAUCAUUCGGCAUUAACAUCAUGCUUAUAACUAUAAGGCGACCAAAUUAAUUCAUAAAUCUAGAUAUGUAUGUCUACUAAACCUUCUUCACAUUAUUGAGUUCAUUAUAACCACACAAGGUCUAAUUAGCUACUAGUUCCAAUACAUUCAUCAAAGUAUUAAUUCCCAAACUAAUAGGUUUAGAGCACACAUUAAGAAAGAAAAACUCAACCAUGUGCAACAAGACAUUUGGAUAAACAUUUCAAAUGUCAUAAGUCUUCAUCACUCAAGAAUCAAAAACUGAUUACUCCUAUUUAGCCAAACAGGAAUCAAACCAAAUACCCCAUUGCAGAUUUUUUUUUGGACAGCAUUCAGCAGUCAACGGUUUUGCUCAUAACUCACAAGAUAUUCAUUCAAAAAUAAUGAGCUAGGACUUUAUAGAACGCCUAAGAAAUCCUCUACAACUUUGGUAUUAUCAUCACCAUGAGAUUAGACACUUAGAAAGGUCAAACAGUACAAAACAAUAAUGCUGUCCAGAUUUGGACAGAAUUCAAUUAUCCACUUCAAAACUCCAUAACUAGAGAUUUAGGCAUCCAAAACAGGUGAUCUUAGACUUUCUAGAAAGCUUAUAAAAUUAUCUACAAAUCCUUUAUAAACAUUUCAGGUUGAUUCAAUGUGGAUCAAAGUCAGCUAAUACAAACAAACUUCUCUGUCCAGAUUUGGACAGGUUUGGACAUCACAAUUCAAACAGCUGUAACUCAACUUUUAGAUCACCAAAAAAGGUGAUCCAAAACUUGUUGGAAAGCUUAAGACAAGUACUACAAUUCUCCUAUAAUUACUAAGAGCUGAUUCUCAGUUUAACUUGGACAAACAAGAUCAUUUUCGAAAUCAGUACAGAAUCUGGACAGAUUCUGAAACUGGACUUGGAAAAUUCAUAACUCCUAAACUAUUAUACCUAUGUCUGUCAAAUUUUAAUACAAGCGAGAUAAUGAAGUUAUCUCCAACUUUUAUGUAUGACAUUUCUACAGUACAUGCAGUCCAAAAUAUCAACUAUCUUGUUUUAAUUCAUACCUAGCUCCUACACAUUAUUUGAUUCGUUCUCUAAAUCAUCUUAUUAGAUUAACUUUGCUUGACGCCUAAAUAAACAUCAUAUAACAUAGAACUCUACAGUACAACUUGAACACCUAAGAACUUAAAGUACUCGCAUAUAUACCUCCUCGAAUUAUUCUCCGACUUCAACCGAAAUCGAAGCAUCGACACUACUUGCUUUCAAAUAAAUAUUUGGGACAGCGAUGACACUCGUACGGAGCCUUUAAUCGAUUAAAAAAACAUUUAACCACUCGCCACGUACAACAGGUGAGGGUUGUUAAAGUGAAGCAUUGAUUCACCAUACCAUAAAAUUAACAUGAUAGCACAAACAAAUACUAUCAACUAUCCCAUUUAAUAUACUAAACUUAUCCCCAUUUAUACACAUACAUUUUCACACACAUAUUCACGCCAUCGAUCACACCUAAUUAGAGCAAACUAGAAUCAUAUAAAGCGAACAAC
rnacentral:lncRNA from 1 species